GAGUUUGAUCAUGGCCAGGACGAACGCUGGCGGCGUGCUUAACACAUGCAAGUCGAACGGAAAGGCCCUUCGGGGUACUCGAGUGGCGAACGGGUGAGUAACACGUGGGUGAUCUGCCCUGCACUUUGGGAUAAGCCUGGGAAACUGGGUCUAAUACCGAAUAGGAUCACGGGCUUCAUGGUCUGUGGUGGAAAGCUUUUGCGGUGUGGGAUGGGCCCGCGGCCUAUCAGCUUGUUGGUGGGGUAAUGGCCUACCAAGGCGACGACGGGUAGCCGGCCUGAGAGGGUGUCCGGCCACACUGGGACUGAGAUACGGCCCAGACUCCUACGGGAGGCAGCAGUGGGGAAUAUUGCACAAUGGGCGCAAGCCUGAUGCAGCGACGCCGCGUGGGGGAUGACGGCCUUCGGGUUGUAAACCUCUUUCAGUAGGGACGAAGCGCAAGUGACGGUACCUAUAGAAGAAGCACCGGCGAACUACGUGCCAGCAGCGCGGUAA
rnacentral:rRNA from 1 species